GGGGCCGUAGCUCAGUUGGGAGAGCGCCUGGAUCGCACCCAGGAGGUCGUCAGUUCGAUUCUGAUCGGCUCCACCA
rnacentral:tRNA from 1 species